CAGACGUUCCUUACGGUAUACCUCCCAACCCCUUGUUGAAUUAUACCUAUAGUUGCUUGGCGGAUCCGUCCGCGACCACCGCUUAAAGCUGGUCAGUGCCCGCCAGAGGACCCUAAACUCUGUUUUUAGUGAAUUUCUGAGUAAACUAAUAUAAUAAUUA
rnacentral:misc_RNA from 1 species